AAAAUUUCAUGGGAUCAGCUCAUAGCGUAUAUUAAGUUGUUGCAGUUAAAAAGCUCGUAGUUGAACCUUGGGCCUGGCUGGCCGGUCCGCCUCACCGCGUGUACUGGUCCGGCCGGGCCUUUCCUUCUGGGGAACCUCAUGCCCUUCACUGGGCGUGCUGGGGAACCAGGACUUUUACUUUGAAAAAAUUAGAGUGUUUAAAGCAGGCACC
rnacentral:rRNA from 1 species